rnacentral:rRNA from 1 species
GUCCAGACUCCUACGGGAGGCAGCAGUGGGGAAUAUUGCACAAUGGGGGAAACCCUGAUGCAGCGACGCCGCGUGAGUGAAGAAGUAUUUCGGUAUGUAAAGCUCUAUCAGCAGGGAAGAAAAAAGACGGUACCUGACUAAGAAGCCCCGGCUAACUACGUGCCAGCAGCCGCGGUAAUACGUAGGGGGCAAGCGUUAUCCGGAAUUACUGGGUGUAAAGGGUGCGUAGGUGGCAUGGUAAGUCAGAAGUGAAAGCCCGGGGCUUAACCCCGGGACUGCUUUUGAAACUGUCAUGCUGGAGUGCAGGAGAGGUAAGCGGAAUUCCUAGUAUAGCGGUGAAAUGCGUAGAUAUUAGGAGGAACACCAGUGGCGAAGGCGGCUUACUGGACUGUCACUGACACUGAUGCACGAAAGCGUGGGGAGCAAACAGGAUUAGAUACCCGAGUACA